rnacentral:lncRNA from 1 species
GGUUAGGCUGCUCUGGCAACCCUAGCACCGAGUUGUCAUCGACUUACUCAUGACAGUAAAUAGCAUUGCAUACCUGGGAAUUCUUGCUGUUACAGAUGGACCCACCACAUGCACAGCUCGAACCUGCCAGACUUCUUAACUCCUUCUGCUCUGUGGAGAAGAUAUUGCAGUGCAGUUGUUCCUUCCAUGGGAUCCCCACUCCUUCUGUGCGAUGGAAGGGGCCCUUUGGCUCCCCAGAUUUUCCUGGAAGCUCUGCUACGGGGUGUUGUCUAUGCAGCCAUGGCAAUCACACUACUUUUUCUCUGCCUCCUCCCCUUCAUAGUGAAACUUCUCAGGACAAAGCAGGCAAAGAAGUGUGCACAGAUGAGAGAACAGAAGAACUCUGUGGCUGGAACAGACCAGGGAUCCCAUUUGAAGCCCAGGGAGCCUAGGAAAUCCAGAACUAAGCUACCCUCUGAGGAGCAGCUCUCGCUGGCUGUGCUGUUGUGGAAGAUUAU